GACUUCUUAGCUCAGCUGGUACAGCGCUUGCAGGUUUUAGGCAUAGUGUUUCUCUCGCUGGUUCGAAUCCAGUCGAAGUCC